rnacentral:rRNA from 1 species
UACAGAGGCCUCGAGCGUUAGGCGGAAUCACUGGGCUUAAAGCGUGUGUAGGCGGACUUCUAAGUACCUUGUGAAAUCCCACGGCUCACCCGUGGAACUGCUUGGUAUACUGGUUGUCUUGAGCCUUCUAGGGGCGAGUGGAACAAAUGGUGGAGCGGUGAAAUGCGUACGAUAUCAUUGGAACGCCAAUGGUGAAAACAACUCGCUGGGGAAGUGCUGACGCUGAGACACGAAGCCAGGGAGCGAACGGG